UCUGUUUUGGGGGGUGGGAUAGAGCUUAGGUCUCGUAACCGAAAGGUCGCGGGUUCGAAUCCCGCUAGAGGCAGAA
rnacentral:tRNA from 1 species